rnacentral:rRNA from 1 species
AUUGAACGCUGGCGGCAUGCCUUACACAUGCAAGUCGAACGGUAACGCGGGGCAACCUGGCGACGAGUGGCGAACGGGUGAGUAAUGUAUCGGAACGUGCCCAGUUGUGGGGGAUAACUGCUCGAAAGAGCAGCUAAUACCGCAUACGACCUGAGGGUGAAAGCGGGGGAUCGCAAGACCUCGCGCAGUUGGAGCGGCCGAUAUCAGAUUAGGUAGUUGGUGGGGUAAAGGCUCACCAAGCCAACGAUCUGUAGCUGGUCUGAGAGGACGACCAGCCACACGGGGACUUAGACACGGCCCAGACUCCGACGGGAGUCAGCAGUGGGGAAUUUUGGACAAUGGGGGCAACCCUGAUCCAGCCAUGCCGCGUGCGGUAAGAAGGCCUUCGGGUUGUAAACCGCUUUUAUCAGGGAAGAAAAGACUCCUGUUAAUACCGGGGGUUCAUGACGGUACCUGAAGAAUAAGCAUCGGCUAACUACGUGCCAGCCGCCGCGGUAA